rnacentral:rRNA from 1 species
UACGGGGGGGGCAAGCGUUGUUCGGAAUUACUGGGCGUAAAGGGCGCGUAGGCGGCCUGCUAAGUCGGACGUGAAAUCCCUCGGCUCAACCGGGGAACUGCGUCCGAUACUGGCGAGGCUUGAAUCCGGGAGAGGGAUGUGGAAUUCCAGGUGUAGCGGUGAAAUGCGUAGAUAUCUGGAGGAACACCGGUGGCGAAGGCGGCAUCCUGGACCGGCAUUGACGCUGAGGCGCGAAAGCUAGGGGAGCAAACGGG